rnacentral:tmRNA from 1 species
GGGGGCGCACUGGUUUCGACCGGUUCUUGUGCGACUUCGAAUUGCGCGUCAGGGAUCCCGAGUCACCCUGUCAACAUCCCGGGACGGCAUUUUUUAACUGCCAACAAUUUUGAACUCGCGGCCUGAUUCGUCAGCCGCCGUCUCUCUGGGGAGUGCCCGUGGCCCCAGAGAGACGUACACAGCGGGCUGGUCGGGGCGUUGCGCCUCAGGGUAACCCGACGAGAAAUUUCUGAGGCUGGUCUGUAGAGCAGCCUGUUCGUGGGCGGCUUAAGGACGAGAACUAAACCACGAAACACACGCGUAGACGUUCGGAGCCGACGGCUCCGGGACGGGGGUUCAAUUCCCCCCGCCUCCACCA